GGGACGGAGGGUGGGGGGUAGGGUGGGACCCAGCACCUAGGUCGUGUGACACUGUCCUCCUGCCUUGGCACCUCAUGCUUGGGGCUUUGGGACAUAUGUCUGUGCUCAUAACUAGGAUGCUGUGAUUCCCUUCUCUUGCCUCAUAUCUGCUCACAUAGGAGUCAAUAACAUAUUGCUGGGCCCGCCAUCCAGUUACAUUCCUUCUCUGUCAUGACCCUCUUCUCAGAAAGCAUUGCGACACACUGUUGAGUCCACAGUCAAUGUGAUGUGAGUCCCCUGCGUGAACCCUGCCCACAGAGACCAUUGUGACGUCAUGUCUGGGGACUCAACUAUUCUCAGUGAUUGUCUUGUUACCCCUGCUCUUUGCCCACAGGAGCGGAUGUGGCUUGUCUCUGGGCCCAGCACCCAGGUGAGGUAACUGUGCUCGCCUGACUGGGCUGCGCUUACAAAAGAAAGAGUGACUUGUCACCGGGCCCGGCACACAGGCGAUGCGGUCCCCUUGUCUGGGUUCUCGUCCACAGGUAUCAUCAUGACAUACUUUUGGUCUCUUCUGCUGGGUGGCCUGUGUCGCCCCCUUCUUCCUGGGAAGUGUCCACCGACACUGAAAUGGAACAUUUCACCUGACUCAGCACCUACACGACCUGUCUCUCGUAUUACGCCUUGGCUUUUCCCACCGGGCUGAUUGGGACAUACAGCUGAGCACAGCCUCUAGGCUAUUUAACUCUUCUCUUCUCACGUGGUCCUACCCACAGGAGGUAUUGGGAUAUAUUUCUAAGCACUUCACCUAGGUAAUGACCCUUUUUGGGGCUUUCCCCGGAUACGGUACGGUGACCUAUUUCUGGACCAGCACCGAGGCGAUGUCCCUCAUUUCUCCUACCUGUUGCCUGUUAGGGCAAAGGAAUUCCUAGGGGUGUGAGUCUACAGAAACCGCGAUUCUUGCCUCCUCAGGAGAAACGACUCCACCGAGGGCCGUAAAGCAGGAGAGUUUCCGAGCAGCAGUAAACGUGUAUGAAGAAGCUUCGGAAGCGGAAGAGAAGGAGGGAAAGUACGCGUGGCAGAGUGCCAAGAGGAUGACUCACAAGGCAAAAGCAGGAUGCGACCUUUCGACCUGGCGUUUUAUAUGUUGGAAUGCCUCUGGGUUGUGGUUGUUGGUCGCGGUGUUGUCUUUCUUUGUUUUUCGUUUUGUUUCGUUUUUCUUCUUUUUUUAAAAGACGGAGUCUCGCCCUCUCGCCCAGGCUGGAGUUCAAUGGCCGGAUCUCGGCUCACCGCAACCUCCACCCCUCGGGUUCCGGUAAUUCUCCUGCCCCAGCCUCCCAAGUCGCUGCGGUUACAGGCGUCUGCCACCACGCCCGGCUAAUUUUUUUUUAACUUUUGUAUGUGACCUCCGCAAGGGUGCCUGUCGCUCAGCUCUCUGUGGCUUCCUAAGUCGUGGUGACCUGAUGACGUUCACCGUUUUCUUCCCCGAGCUCGGCGGGGAAACAGAAACUCCCAGGGAUCCGUGGAAAAGCAGCAGCGUGUCGCUGCCCUUUCUAUCCAGGUUGCCGAGACUCCCCGUGUGGCAGGAAACAGGAAUGCCUCGUCAGGCCGUCUCUGCCCGGGAGAGUUUCUGUCUCCGUGCCUUCGCUCUCGUUUUCUAGAGGAACACGAACCGGAUCCACGCAGCUGCGUGUGUGAGAGUGUCGCGGCCACGGCGACACCCACAGACGUGGACGCCUUGACGGAGAGGGGGGGCUUGGAAAACUCAGGCCUGUCACGGGGGUUCGCUUCUGCACGCCACCCUCCCUGGUGACGUGUUCGAGCCCGGAGAGAGGCUUCCAGUUUCCGUAGAAUUCCUGGAGAACCCCAGAGGUCCAGCCCCCGAAGCCCCGCGUGUCCCUCCCCCGCCGCUCAGGCCCCACCCCCGACCACCCCACAGGGCCCUGGUGUCCCUGUGGUUUCCGGCUUGAGAGGGCGGGCUACCCCGCCCUGGGUCCCCGGAGCUCAUGCAAAUUCAGGAAGGGGUGGGGCCGCUAGGUCUCUAUAAAAGCGGCCCCUGGCUGGCGGGGCCGGACUCCUGGCUUGACCUGCCUGCAGGUGCGGUGCACAGCAGAGGUUGGCUGAGGCGCGCGGGAGCCGCCGGGCCUCUGUGUGCCUGUGUCUGUCUGUGACACUCGGCCCGGUCUCCCCGCGAUGGCUCUCCCCACAGCUCCCGGCAGCCCUCUCCCGGCGGAGGCCCGAGGGCGAGGAAGGCGAAAGAGGCUCGUUUGGACUCCGAGCCAGAGGGACGCCCUGCGAGCGUCCUUUGAGCGGAACCCGUACCCGGGCAUGGCCACCAGAGAACAGCUGGCCCAGGCCAUCGGCGUUCCGGAGCCCAGGGUCCAGAUUUGGUUUCAGAACGAGAGAUCGCGCCGGCUGAGGCAGCACCGGCGGGAAUCCAGGCCCUGGCCUGGGCCACGCGGCCCGCCAGAAGGCCGGCGAAAGCGGACGGCCGUGACCCAGUCCCAGACCGCCGUGCUCCUCCGGGCCUUCGAGCGAGAGCGCUUUCCGGACUUCGCCACCAGGGAGGAACUGGCCAGAGAGACGGGCCUCCCGGAGUCCAGGAUUCAGAUUUGGUUUCAGAAUCGAAGGGCCAGGCAUCCAGGCCGGGCUGGCAGGGGACCCGCGGCCGCAGGCGGCCCGCGCGACACGGCCCCCGGCGGGCGCGGCUCCUCUGCUCGCUCCUGGGUCGCCUCCACCCACACCGGGGCGUGGGGGGCGGCGCUUCCCGCACCCCAAGUGCCCUGCGCGCCUGGGGCCCUCCCACAGGGGCCCGUCGUGAGCCAGGCAGCAGGGGCCGUGCCCCUGCUCCUGCACGGACAGGCCCCACAGGCAGAAGGAAUCUCGCAACCUGACCCGGCGCUCGGGGCCCUCGGGGCUUUCGGGUUCGCCGCCCUGGCUCCUUCGGGGGUGGCGCUCCCCCAGCCUCAGAGCCUUCCGGGGCCUCCGCACCCGGGCAGAUGCCACGAGGAGCGGGAGCCGCAGCACGCCGGCCUGCCGGGGACGUGCUCCGUGGGACAGCUUGGGCCCGCUCAAGCCGACUCACAGGGGCGAGGUGUGCAGGGUCCCUGGUGGGGCUGGGGCCAGGGGCCCCAGGUGGCCGGGGCGGCAGGGGAACCCCAAGCCGCGCCACCUCCACCUCCGCAGCCCGCACCCCCGGAGGCCUCCGCCUGGCAGGGGCAGAUGCCAGCCCUGCAGGCGCCUUCCCAAGCGCUCCAGGAGCCGGAGGAGCGCUCGUCUGCGCUCACCUCCAGCCUGCUGGACGAGCUCCUGUCGACCCCAGAGUUUCAGCAGCAGGCACGACCUUUCCUAGAGACGGAGCCACUGGGGGAGCUGAAGGAGGUGGAAGAGCUCGCUUCCCUGGAGCCACCCCUCAGCGAGGAAGAAUACCGGGCUCUGCUGGAGGAGCUUUAAAAGCGGCGUGUCUUGGCGUCUCGCCCUCCCGCUGACCUGUCUGGGAUCCCUGAGUGCCAGGUCCGUCCGUCCGGACCAACGGAGGGACCCCACAGCCUUAAAGCAUUUCGGGAGCUCAAUGCGAUGCGUGCCAGUCCUCGUUUCACCCACGGGGUUCACAGACGGCAUAUCCCCACGGCGAACCCUGCAACGGAGCGCGAGGCAGUCUCAUCCCCACAGGGGUCACCCUCGGGCCGAUUGAAGCGUGAUUUCCGACUUCAGCCUGUGAUCGGCUGGGUGUGCGCGUGCGCGCGUGUGCAUGGAUUUGAGGCUCCUGCGGCCUGUCUUGCCGUUUCGCUGACCUGCCUGGGAGCCCUCAGUUCUAGGUCCGUCCGGUGAGAGACAGCACACAGGGCGGGGCUGUGCUGUCAUUCUCUCCCCAGCAUCUAGGGAACCCCAGAACCCGCCCAGGGCCCGGGAGCUGGGCGGUCUAGUGCGCGUGCGCGGGUCUGCAGGCAGCCCGCGGCCGCUUCUGGGGACCAGCGCAGGCAGAGCUGUCGGCCCUCCUCGCAGCCCUGCCCCCACGCCACCCGGCCUACUUCAGGAGGGUGGGCGGAGGGAGCGUUUCGCCCCCCCCCCCCGGAAACACCGGGCCGGGUCCCCAGGCAGGCCGGCUCUCCAUUCCGCUGCACCCCUCUUCUGCCUCCCCGAUUCGCCCACCGAUCACUCGCACACCGGUGCCCCGCCAGCUUCCCCGCCAUCACCGAGUAGCGCCUGGCAGCUCAAUAUAGACCCGAGACCACUCCUCCCACGGCCCCGCUACGAACGACCCCGCGGGCAAACGGAAGGGCUGCUUUCUCCAGGCCGGAGGGAAGGCGGGUAGAGAAGCGGGGAGGAUCCCAGGCCGCGAGGGAGGGACGAGGGAAGGGAGGGAAGGACGCAA